CCUACGGGGGGCUGCAGUGGGGAAUAUUGCACAAUGGGCGCAAGCCUGAUGCAGCCAUGCCGCGUGUGUGAAGAAGGCCUUCGGGUUGUAAAGCACUUUCAGCGGGGAGGAAGGCGGUGAGGUUAAUAACCUCAUCGAUUGACGUUACCCGCAGAAGAAGCACCGGCUAACUCCGUGCCAGCAGCCGCGGUAAUACGGAGGGUGCAAGCGUUAAUCGGAAUUACUGGGCGUAAAGCGCACGCAGGCGGUCUGUCAAGUCGGAUGUGAAAUCCCCGGGCUCAACCUGGGAACUGCAUUCGAAACUGGCAGGCUAGAGUCGUGUAGAGGGGGGUAGAAUUCCAGGUGUAGCGGUGAAAUGCGUAGAGAUCUGGAGGAAUACCGGUGGCGAAGGCGGCCCCCUGGACAAAGACUGACGCUCAGGUGCGAAAGCGUGGGGAGCAAACAGGAUUAGAUACCCCAGUAGUC
rnacentral:rRNA from 1 species